AAUAGAUACCCAGGUAGUCCACGCCCUAAACGAUGUCUACUAGUUGUCGGGUCUUAAUUGACUUGGUAACGCAGCUAACGCGUGAAGUAGACCGCCUGGGGAGUACGGUCGCAAGAUUAAAACUCAAAGGAAUUGACGGGGACCCGCACAAGCGGUGGAUGAUGUGGAUUAAUUCGAUGCAACGCGAAAAACCUUACCUACCCUUGACAUGGCAGGAAUCCUGGAGAGAUCUGGGAGUGCUCGAAAGAGAACCUGCACACAGGUGCUGCAUGGCUGUCGUCAGCUCGUGUCGUGAGAUGUUGGGUUAAGUCCCGCAACGAGCGCAACCCUUGUCAUUAGUUGCUACGCAAGAGCACUCUAAUGAGACUGCCGGUGACAAACCGGAGGAAGGUGGGGAUGACGUCAAGUCCUCAUGGCCCUUAUGGGUAGGGCUUCACACGUCAUACAAUGGUACAUACAGAGGGCCGCCAACCCGGCGAGGGGGAGCUAAUCCCAGAAAGUGUAUCGUAGUCCGGA
rnacentral:rRNA from 1 species